rnacentral:lncRNA from 1 species
GUUUGAUUCCUGAGACUUCCCUUGGAACAGCUGCUGCAAGUUUGCUCCCAGAAGCAGCCCUCCAGGCCACCCAGGAAUGAGUUGACACCAGCGACAUCUGUUGUCUUCUGCAGCUCAAUUGAGUCAUGAAGGACCUCUUUGGGUCCCCUGGCAGCCACUGGACUUCAGCCUUGUGUGUUCUUCUGUCCUCUACAGCUGAGAGGGUGACUGACCCACUCAGGUGAAAGAGCUGUCUGCAGCCACUGAGAGUCCUGUUGAGGAAACAGAACAGUGAGGGAGUGCAUGACAUUCCUUGGCGCGUGGGGAAGGGGUGGGGGGAUGCAGAGCCUGCUGGGAUUGUGCCAGAGUGGUGCACAGUCGUGCAAAUCAAUCUUGUCCAUCUGGUCCCUUCCACCUACAAGAAAUGGUUUCUGGAAGCAGCAUGCCCAGGUUAUGGCUGCUCACAACCCAGAAAUGCUUCUGGAAUGGAGGAAGAGGGGCUCCAUGCAGUUGAGAUGCGCCAAAGCCAGUUUUUCUCUCGAAAGAAGAAGCUCUGCCAAAUCCACAUGGCAAACAAGGUGUUCCCAGGUGAGUCUCAUAAAGAUGGUACAAAAGGAUGUAUUUCUUGUUUUGGAUCUGUGCCUUCAGCCCUCUGCAGUCUACAAUGAUCUCUUAUCUCUGGGCUUUGGCCCAGUUUUCUGUUGUUUUACGGGACACCGUACAGCACCCACCCUCCGUAGUCCAAAUGUAAUUAUGCCCCUCAGAAGUGGCAGGCUCUUCCCUUCGAUUUCUAUUAUAUCACUAAAAAGUGUGCACGCUUUCAUGUAAGUUUUGGGCAAAGUAGAGAGACAAGUGUCUGUUGGGUGAGUACCCUAUGAAGGAUCUUUUCUUUCAGACUCUGACACUCAUGCUAAGAAAAUGCAGAAGGACUCUCUUACUAACUCCUCUUUAUGAGGUUAGGGUUUUAGGUGGGAAUUUUUUCUGGUUGAUUUGAAGACACAUUGAUUCUUAUCUUAUGAUGUAAGAAGUAAGACUCUUUGUUGAGUGUUUACUUCCAAACAAGACUGAAUCACAACAGUUUGCUGCUUGCAUGAAUAAAGAAGUGUUUUCAUGAGUGAAAUUAUGUUGC